GAUGAAGAACGCAGCGAAAUGCGAUAAGUAAUGUGAAUUGCAGAAUUCAGUGAAUCAUCGAAUCUUUGAACGCACAUUGCGCCCGCCAGCACUCUGGCGGGCAUGCCUGUUCGAGCGUCAUUUCAACCAUCAAGCCCCCAGGGGCUUGUGCUGGGGCCCUGCGGCUGCCCGCAGGCCCUGAAAACCAGUGGCGGGCUCGCUAGUCACACCGAGCGCAGUAGCACAUCUCGCUCAGGGCGUGCGGCGGGCUCCUGCCGUGAAACCCCCCACUGUAACCCCAAAGGUUGACCUCGGAUCAGGUAGGAAUACCCGCUGAACUUAAGCAUAUCAAUAAGUGGAGGA
rnacentral:misc_RNA from 1 species